CGAGGCUGGGGCAGCGGGCGGCAGCACUCUGGGCGGUGCUGGUGCCCAGCCCGGAGUGGAGAGGCGAGGCGGGAAAGUAAUUAGAAACAGUUGUACAAGCAGAUGGUUUAUUUUGACAUUAAAAAAAAAAGUCAGGUUCGCAGAUUUGAGAAAAAUCGUUUCUUUCUUUCUUCAAGUAGAGGCCCCAGAAGUACUGACAAGAGAAUAUUUGAGCUGGCUGAUGCUAAAGGGGCCAUUCAAGGAAUGCUGCAAGUUGGAGAGGAGACGGGGCUCCUGGUGACGCCUGCCCCCGAAGGAUCAGGAUGGGGAAAGGAAUCGCUCUGCCCAGUGGCCUUCCAAGCAAAGCAUCAUUGUUUUUUCCUGACAAAAUAUUCCAUCCUUUGGAAAUACCUGCUUUCUCCGCCGUCCUGGUUUGUAAUAGCUCCAGG
rnacentral:lncRNA from 1 species